rnacentral:lncRNA from 1 species
GCCAGAUUCUUUAACCGUCAGAUCUCAUGGGAAAUAAGGAUACAAAUUCUGGAGCAGCAACUGAUUUACCAGGAAACACUGAGGAGUAGAGCAAGGUAAAGAAUUUUAACUGUUUGGGGUUCGUUACUUCACACUUAAGAAAUCUACAAACCACAGGAAAUGAAACUUGACUAAAUGCAGAUGACACAGACAGCCAACUCCGAAAAUGUGCUGGGCUCCACUCAGUUCUAGGUGACCUUUAGCAAAAAGAGGGUGUUCUGAUGAAACCCUUUGACCAUAACCAACAGCCUCCAACUUACAGGAUUCUCCCCUCGUAUGACCAAGUGGUGUAAUCUUUGAGGUCCUGGCAGCACAGGUUGAGUGCAACCUAAAAGAGAAUGAGGAUUCCACAAGGUCUUCUGGAAUGGUACACUUAUUGGAAACUUGUUUCAGCAUUCAAAAAAACCUGGCCUGUUUCUAAAGCAAUGCAUGGUUUAAGAGGAAUGGCAAAUUGAAGCCAACGUUUUUCAAACACAUUUCACUUAAAAAAAAAUGGCCACUAGAAAGAAUGCAACUUAUUUUCAAAAAGAAUUAUCUCAAGAAAGCAUGGUUGGCCCAUUCAUCCAUCUCCCUGCCCACAAGGGAAUGAAUGAAUGAAGACAAGAUGUGCCACCUCUGAAAGACUGUUAAUCUCCCUCUCUCUAUAAAAGUGGUACUAUGUAAUUUCUACUCAUUUGGUUACAAAUAAAAUUAGUAAGUGAAGGAUCCGUAGUUUCUGUAUGUCACCUACAAACCUGAGUCUUUGUGCUAAAAUUGUUCAAAUAUUCAAUUGAAUCUUAUUCAAUACCAAUGCUUUUGUAUAUUGCAUGUGGUAUAUGUGCAUGGUGCUUGGCUUAUUCUGAGAGCCAUUUGGUGGAAUAAGAAGAGAGUAAAUGAAGCCUCAUUCUAGAACUUUCUUUCUAAAGUAAAAAGGCAGAGCAACCCAUAGAAGGCUCUAGAAAAGGAACACAUACCAUGGAAAGGAAAAAGGAAAGAGAUGCUACCCAGGUCAUGAGGUUUGGAUUUG